UUGAUUGGCAUAAAUUUGGGGAGCUCCCAGGUGCAGCUGAGCUGGCUGACCUGAAGGAGCCUCCAGGAGGGGAAAGGAGUGACCUUUGUGACGUGUGCUGAGGGCACCCAUCUCCUCCACCAGGACUGUAUUUCUGUCAAUCCCUUCAGCUGCAUGUACCAGUCCACUGCCUGUGGCUGAAGUUAGAAAAGCAUCAAUCAAGCGAAAGCAAUCCCCAUCCAGCAAUUCAGCUGUGCCUCAUGAUUGAUGAGUCACUGGAGCAGAGACUCAAACCUACAUCAUCGACACCAAAGCUCAAGAGUGACAGAAAAAUCUGCUUUCAAGUGCCCAGCUCCUAGCAGUUAGAACAGUACUGUCAGUGACAGAUACAGGGAAGAAAAAGGAACCAAAACAACUGAGAAAAGCUGGCCUUUUCAAUGUUGUCCACAGAGGGGAAGUUGGAGAAUGAUGAAGACCACAGCACACUCAUCGCAGUUUUCUGUUGGAAAGAAAUGUGUUUUUCUGGCAGAAGAUAAGUGGCUUUAGUUAUUACUGGAGUCAAAAGUAAACUCUGUGUAUACCAGUUUGGAGAACAACUUCCAGCAACUGCUUACAGAUCUCAGUACUGUAGUCUCACAUCUUUGGGGUUUUUUUCCCUCAUAGAAAGCCACUAGUCUCGACAAUGUUUUUCUUGCAGAAAACAAGAAUUACUGUUACACUUUGAUGCAAGGGAUAAAAAAAAGGUGUUUUCCUCAAACCACUCCCACCAACUUUAUCAUGAGUGUUAGGAAAACAUCUGGACUGAAGCUGCAUCUGUCUUUCCAGAAAGCUGUACCUGUGAUGCUGCCCCAUUGCCUUAUUGCUACCCCUCUCCUUGCCCAUUCCCACCUGGCAUCCCAGUGGGGUCAGGCAGUCAGUUUUGAAUUUCUGACUCUCAUCUCAGCCAAACUCACUCUUAAUACUGAACUCACUCUUAAUAUUUUCAGGUUUGUUGAAUUCAGUUGUGAACUUACUAAAGCUCAUGACACUGACAUUGGCUAUCAAAAACAGGGCUGGGACUGUGAUGCUGUGAUUAAAGUUUUAGGUGAAAAUACAAACUCUCUUUAAAACAAUGAACUGCCUGCAUACAAUAUUAAAUGCCAACCAACCAGACAAGUUGUUUUGUUGGCUUCCUAUAAAACUGCAGGGCCUUGAGUAUAACAAAUAUGAGAAAAAUAAUGAUAAAGUAUGAUACAUUUGAGUUUGGCCUUGAAAAUCUGCAGUUACUGCAGCUGUGGGUGCCUUACACUAACUACAUCCUGUUUAUAAACAGCCAGCACAAAAAUGUCACUUUUCUGAUUUGAAGCCAUUUGCUGUAGCCAAAUAUGCAUUUCAUGAUAACAGAAGUGUCUUAGCCAGUUAGAACUCAUUUCUCUCCCCUCAAAUAAACAGCAAUCAGCUCGCCCAUUGGUGGUGGUGGCUCAGUUUGUGUGUGCUGCUCCUGCUCUGAAUAUGCAGAUCUCCCCACUCUCAUUAGUUCCUGAAGUGCCUCUGUUCACUCUUCCUGCUGUAGCUGGUGUUUCUGAGCUGUUUGGAUGACAAUACCACAGCUAAAGACUAGGAUAACUUUAAAAUGUAUUUAAAAGUAUAAAAACAUACUGUCACAAAUCAAACUGACUGUUGAAUAAUACUGAGAAAUACUAAGAAAGAGUGGUAGGAAAACAGCUCUUGCAGAUGGAAGAACCUUAUCUGUAAGGACUGGAUCAGGCAGGAUCUUUGUCCCAUGCCAGGAAACCUGGUGGGUAGUGUGUUUUCAGGGCUAGGUCUGAGUAUGGCACAUCUCAGAAAUUAAGUUUAUUCAAUGUAUAUGCUCUUGCUCUCAAUAUAAUAGUCUGCCAUCUCAGCACUGGCUGGUGCUAUGUUUUCAAUGUUGUUCUAGUUUAUUUUAUAA